rnacentral:rRNA from 1 species
GAUGAACGCUGGCGGCGUGCCUAACACAUGCAAGUCGAGCGAAGCAUUUUAAAGGAAGUUUUCGGAUGGAAUUUGAAAUGACUGAGCGGGCGACGGGUGAAGGUACGCGUAGGGUAACCUGCCUCAUACAGGGGGAUAACAGUUAGAAAUGACUGCUAAUACCGCAUAAGCACACAGUACCGCAUGGUACAGUGUGAAAAACUCCGGUGGUAUGAGAUGGACCUGCGUCUGAUUAGCUAGUUGGCGGGGUAACGGCCCACCAAGGCGACGAUCAGUAGCCGACCUGAGAGGGUGACCGGCCACAUUGGGACUGAGACACGGCCCAA